UACGUAGGGUGCAAGCGUUGUCCGGAAUUAUUGGGCGUAAAGAGCUCGUAGGCGGCUUGUCGCGUCGCUGUGAAAACCUGGGGCUCAACCCCGGGCCUGCAGCCGAUACGGGCAAGCUAGAAUUCGGUAGGGGAGACUGGAAUUCCUGGUGUAGCGGUGAAAUGCGCAGAUAUCAGGAGGAACACCGGUGGCGAAGGCGGGUCUCUGGGCCAAGUUGACUCUGAGGAGCGAAAGCGUGGGGAGCAAACAGG
rnacentral:rRNA from 1 species